AUUGAACGCUGGCGGCAUGCCUUACACAUGCAAGUCGAACGGCAGCACGGGAGCAAUCCUGGUGGCGAGUGGCGAACGGGUGAGUAAAGUAUCCGAACGUGCCCAGUCGUGGGGGAUAACGUAGCGAAAGUUACGCUAAUACCGCAUACGAUCUAUGGAUGAAAGCGGGGGAUCGCAAGACCUCGCGCGAUUGGAGCGGCCGAUAUCAGAUUAGGUAGUUGGUGGGGUAAAGGCGCACCAAGCCGACGAUCUGUAGCUGGUCUGAGAGGACGACCAGCCACACUGGGACUGAGACACGGCCCAGACUCCUACGGGAGGCAGCAGUGGGGAAUUUUGGACAAUGGGCGAAAGCCUGAUCCAGCCAUGCCGCGUGCAGGAUGAAGGCCUUCGGGUUGUAAACUGCUUUUGUACGGAACGAAAAGGUUUGGCCUAAUAAGCUGAGCUCAUGACGGUACCGUAAGAAUAAGCGCCGGCUAACUACGUGCCAGCCGCCGCCGUAA
rnacentral:rRNA from 1 species